AGCGAACGCUGGCGGCAGGCUUAACACAUGCAAGUCGAACGGGCGUAGCAAUACGUCAGUGGCAGACGGGUGAGUAACGCGUGGGAACGUGCCUUUUGGUUCGGAACAACUGAGGGAAACUUCAGCUAAUACCGGAUAAGCCCUUACGGGGAAAGAUUAUCGCCAAAGAUCGGCCCGCGUCUGAUUAGCUUGUUGGUGAGGUAAUGGCUCACCAAGGCGACGAUCAGUAGCGGUCUGAGAGGAUGAUCAGCCACCACUGGGACUGAGACACGGCCCAAACUACCUACGGGAGGCAGCAGUGGGGAAGUAUUGGACAAUGGGCGGCAAGCCUGAUCCAGCCAUGCCGCGUGAGUGAUGAAGG
rnacentral:rRNA from 1 species